rnacentral:rRNA from 1 species
CUACGGGGGGCUGCAGUGAGGAAUAUUGCACAAUGGGGGGAACCCUGAUGCAGCAACGCCGCGUGGAGGAUGGCGCAUUUCGGUGUGUAAACUCCUUUUAUAUGUCAAGAAAAUGACGGUAGCAUAUGAAUAAGCACCGGCUAACUCCGUGCCAGCAGCCGCGGUAAUACGGAGGGUGCAAGCGUUACUCGGAAUCACUGGGCGUAAAGGACGCGUAGGCGGGUUGGAAAGUCAGGUGUGAAAUCCUACAGCUUAACUGUAGAACUGCACUUGAAACUUCUAAUCUAGAGUAUGGGAGGGGGAGAUGGAAUUAGUGGUGUAGGGGUAAAAUCCGUAGAUAUCACUAAGAAUACCUAAAGCGAAGGCGAUCUCCUGGAACAUUACUGACGCUAAGGCGUGAAAGCGUGGGGAGCAAACAGGAUUAGAUACCCGUGUAGUC